GGGUAUCAUGUAAUCUUUUGGCCUUCCAUGUGAAGUUACUGACAUAACCAGUUUUUUUCAGGUUCCCUCAGGUACUUUCAAGACCAGCAGAAAGAUAAAAUUACUGACGAUGCAGAGACUGAUGACAGACCUACACACCACAAUAAAGAUGUGGCUGGAGUAGAAGCAAAGGCAUCUGGUUGAACAAAGUAUUUAAGGGAAGUUUGCAGUUAAAGCCUUGUGUGCAAUGAAGGCUCAGGUAAAUAAAAGGGUUUCAGAGCAGCAGCUCAAGCUGAGUAUUUCCUUUGGAAGGGUCGCUCCAAAGCCGCAGACUGGGCGCAGGGAGGAGUUCCCCUCACUCUGGAAGAGAAAAGGCACUUGACAAGGAAACCCAGGCCAAAGCAGACUGUUGAUGUGCUUUAUAUAUAUUAAAAUAUUUCUGGGCUGCAAUGAGUCAAGACUAGGAAAAGUAGAUCUGAAAGCAUUUUCUUGACAUGAUUUAUAGCAAGAAAAAAUACCAAAUAAAGUGUUGUCUUCACAGCA
rnacentral:lncRNA from 1 species